UACAGAGACUGCAAGCGUUAUUCGGAUUCACUGGGCGUAAAGGGUGCGCAGGCGGUUGGGUGUGUCAGAUGUGAAAUCCCGAGGCUCAACCUCGGAACUGCGUCUGAAACUACUCGACUAGAGUACUGGAGAGGGUAGCGGAAUUCACGGUGUAGCAGUGAAAUGCGUAGAGAUGCGGAGGAACACCGAUGGCGAAGGCAGCCCCCUGGGCUAGCACUGACGCUCAGGCACGAAAGCGUGGGGAGCAAACAGG
rnacentral:rRNA from 1 species